rnacentral:rRNA from 1 species
GCGACCCCAGGUCAGGCGGGCUUACCCGCU